rnacentral:rRNA from 1 species
AGCUUGCUCUUAUGAAGUUAGCGGCGGACGGGUGAGUAACACGUGGGUAACCUGCCCAUAAGACUGGGAUAACUCCGGGAAACCGGGGCUAAUACCGGAUAAUAUUUUGAACUGCAUGGUUCGAAAUUGAAAGGCGGCUUCGGCUGUCACUUAUGGAUGGACCCGCGUCGCAUUAGCUAGUUGGUGAGGUAACGGCUCACCAAGGCAACGAUGCGUAGCCGACCUGAGAGGGUGAUCGGCCACACUGGGACUGAGACACGGCCCAGACUCCUACGGGAGGCAGCAGUAGGGAAUCUUCCGCAAUGGACGAAAGUCUGACGGAGCAACGCCGCGUGAGUGAUGAAGGCUUUCGGGUCGUAAAACUCUGUUGUUAGGGAAGAACAAGUGCUAGUUGAAUAAGCUGGCACCUUGACGGUACCUAACCAGAAAGCCACGGCUAACUACGUGCCAGCAGCCGCGGUAAUACGUAGGUGGCAAGCGUUAUCCGGAAUUAUUGGGCGUAAAGCGCGCGCAGGUGGUUUCUUAAGUCUGAUGUGAAAGCCCACGGCUCAACCGUGGAGGGUCAUUGGAAACUGGGAGACUUGAGUGCAGAAGAGGAAAGUGGAAUUCCAUGUGUAGCGGUGAAAUGCGUAGAGAUAUGGAGGAACACCAGUGGCGAAGGCGACUUUCUGGUCUGUAACUGACACUG